rnacentral:rRNA from 1 species
UACCAGCACCCCGAGUGGUCGGGACGAUUAUUGGGCCUAAAGCAUCCGUAGCCGGUUCUACAAGUCUUCCGUUAAAUCCCCCUGCUUAACAGAUGGGCUGCGGAGGAUACUAUAGAGCUAGGAGGCGGGAGAGGCAAGCGGUACUUAGUGGGUAGGGGUAAAAUCCGUUGAUCCAUUGAAGACCACCAGUGGCGAAGGCGGCUUGCCAGAACGCACUCGACGGUGAGGGAUGAAAGCUGGGGGAGCAAACCGG